rnacentral:tRNA from 1 species
GGGGAUGUGGCUCAGUGGGAGAGCGUGCGGUUCGCAUCCGCAAGGCCGAGGGUUCGAAUCCCUUCAUCUCCA